rnacentral:rRNA from 1 species
CCAGACUCCUACGGGAGGCAGCAGUGGGGAAUAUUGCACAAUGGGCGAAAGCCUGAUGCAGCAACGCCGCGUGAAGGAAGAAGGGUUUCGGCUCGUAAACUUCUAUCAACAGGGACGAAAGAAAUAACGGUACCUGAAUAAGAAGCCCCGGCUAACUACGUGCCAGCAGCCGCGGUAAUACGUAGGGAGCGAGCGUUGUCCGGAUUUACUGGGUGUAAAGGGUGCGUAGGCGGCCCUGCAAGUCAGAAGUGAAAUCCAUGGGCUUAACCCGUGAACUGCUUUUGAAACUGCAGGACUUGAGUGGAGUAGAGGUAGGCGGAAUUCCUAGUGUAGCGGUGAAAUGCGUAGAUAUUAGGAGGAACACCAGUGGCGAAGGCGGCUUACUGGACGGCAACUGACGCUGAGGCUCGAAAGCGUGGGGAGCAAACAGGAUUAGAUACCCUUGUA